rnacentral:rRNA from 1 species
UACGGAGAGGGCUAGCGUUGUUCGGAUUUACUGGGCGUAAAGGGCGCGUAGGCGGUUUAGUAAGUUAGAAGUGAAAGCCCAGGGCUUAACCUUGGAACUGCUUUUAAUACUGCUAAGCUUGAGAUCGAGAGAGGAUAGUGGAAUUCCUAGUGGAGAGGUGAAAUUCAUAGAUAUUAGGAGGAACACCAGUGGCGAAGGCGGCUAUCUGGCUCGAUACUGACGCUGAGGCGCGAAAGCGUGGGGAGCAAACAGG